GUCCUGGUGACCAUAGCGGAGGGGAAACACCCGAUCCCAUUCCGAACUCGGAAGUUAAGCCCUCCAGCGCCGAUGAUACUGCCUUCCUAAAAGGUGGGAAAGUAGGCCGUCGCCAGGAC
rnacentral:rRNA from 1 species